GAAUUCGCCCUUAGAGUUUGAUCCUGGCUCAGGAUGAACGCUGGCGGCGUGCUUAACACAUGCAAGUCGAACGAAGCACUUUAACCUGAUUCUUCGGAUGAAGGUUUUUGUGACUGAGUGGCGGACGGGUGAGUAACGCGUGGGUAACCUGCCUCAUACAGGGGGAUAACAGUUAGAAAUGACUGCUAAUACCGCAUAAGACCACAGAGCCGCAUGGCUCAGUGGGAAAAACUCCGGUGGUAUGAGAUGGACCCGCGUCUGAUUAGGUAGUUGGUGGGGUAACGGCCUACCAAGCCAACGAUCAGUAGCCGACCUGAGAGGGUGACCGGCCACAUUGGGACUGAGACACGGCCCAAACUCCUACGGGAGGCAGCAGUGGGGAAUAUUGCACAAUGGGCGCAAGCCUGACCCAGCAACGCCGCGUGAAGGAAGAAGGCUUUCGGGUUGUAAACUUCUUUUGUCAGGGACGAGUAGAAGACGGUACCUGACGAAUAAGCCACGGCUAACUACGUGCCAGCAGCCGCGGUAAUACGUAGGUGGCAAGCGUUGUCCGGAUUUACUGGGUGUAAAGGGCGUGUAGCCGGGAGGGCAAGUCAGAUGUGAAAUCCACGGGCUUAACUCGUGAACUGCAUUUGAAAACUGUUCUUCUUGAGUAUCGGAGAGGCAAUCGGAAUUCCUAGUGUAGCGGUGAAAUGCGUAGAUAUUAGGAGGAACACCAGUGGCGAAGGCGGCUUGCUGGGCUUUAACUGACGCUGAGGCUCGAAAGUGUGGGGAGCAAACAGGAUUAGAUACCCUGGUAGUCCACACUGUAAACGAUGAUAGCUAGGUGUGGGGGGUCUGACCCCUUCCGUGCCGGAGUUAACGCAAUAAGCUAUCCACCUGGGGAGUACGACCGCAAGGUUGAAACUCAAAGGAAUUGACGGGGGCCCGCACAAGCAGUGGAUUAUGUGGUUUAAUUCGAAGCAACGCGAAGAACCUUACCAGGUCUUGACAUCCGACUAACGAGAUAGAGAUAUGUCAGGUGCCCUUCGGGGAAAGUCGAGACAGGUGGUGCAUGGUUGUCGUCAGCUCGUGUCGUGAGGUGUUGGGUUAAGUCCCGCAACGAGCGCAACCCCUGCCAUUAGUUGCUACGCAAGAGCACUCUAAUGGGACCGCUACCGACAAGGUGGAGGAAGGUGGGGACGACGUCAAAUCAUCAUGCCCCUUAUGACCUGGGCUACACACGUAAUACAAUGGCCGUUAACAGAGGGAAGCAAAGCGGUGACGCAGAGCAAAACCCUAAAAACGGUCCCAGUUCGGACUGUAGGCUGCAACCCGCCUACACGAAGUUGGAAUUGCUAGUAAUCGCGGAUCAGCAUGCCGCGGUGAAUACGUUCCCGGGCCUUGCACUCACCGCCCGUCA
rnacentral:rRNA from 1 species